GGUAACAUGUUUAUGUCCAGCCCCACAGGAAGCAGAGGAGAGAGCAGAAAACUCAGCCUGAGGACGCAGCCCAGUUCUCCCAAGUCACCGGUCCAGGAAACAGGGAUGUGAGCACUGGUGGAAGAUGUUUCUGGUGUGGGAAUGAGCUGCGUUCUCCAAUUAUGAUAGAGCUCUGGGAGCUGUUUAAUAACUGCUGUACUCUGAAUCACUGAACACAUUCACCUAUAUGAAAAACACCCUGCUGUAGUGAAAUGUGUGCCAUCAAACCUACAGAAGGGAAGAGACAGUUCUGGUCUGAGAAGUCAGCAUCUCCUCCAUGUGUGUUCCAUGGGAGAUGCAUUUGAAGGGCAGGAUGUUCCCUGAAGACCGGCUUCACCCUGUCACUCGGAAUGCAUGAGCACUGUCAGCGCACUGGACUGAGGACAAUUCUCCUUCCUAGUGGGGGGAUGAAAGUGUUGGCACUCUCCUUGACACUCAUAAAACUGGGGCCACUAAGUAAAAAGCCCUAUAAACUUGCAAGGGCUUGAUAUUAUUACAUAAUGAUGGUGAUAGCAAUAAUACUUUGUGUUUAUGCAGCAUUCAAAGGUUUGGGAAGCUUUUACACAUUGAUUAUUUUAAGAAUUACCCCCCCCAACUUUAUUGAAAUAUAAUUGGGAAAUAAAACCUGUAAAGGUGUAUAUUGUGAAUGUAUGUAUGAAAUA